AAAUAAAGGGUAUGACCUAAAGUUAUACAGUUGUCUAGAUAACAGACUAAAACUGUGGAUGGCUGAUGGGAAUGUGGAUGUACUUCCUGGUGUAAUGGGUGCCAGUUGCAAGUUGCCACACCAGAAGUAAUUACACUCUGUCCUUCUGACACUGAGAAUUGAGACUGGAGACUGAAACAUCAAAGGCAUGACAAGAAAAUUGGAAAAGUGUGUGUGAUUGUAAUGGGAUAGAGUUUGAAAACCUCAGUCCAAAAUUAUGUUUUUGCCAUCUAGCCUGAUAAGCACUUUCUCUAGCAAUACAGCUAAAACUUACAAUUGAAGUACUUCCCAGUUUUAUAAAAGUGUUAAAUAUACUAAAAUUGAUCAAAACUGAUAACUGUAACUUAAUAGCUUUGCAGAAAGAUGCUUCUGACAAAACAGAAACAGAUUUCCAGUUUCUAAUUGCAAGUGAAUGCUCCUAGUUUAUCAAAAGAGUUGUAAGUAAUGUAGCAUCCUGUGGCUGCCGAAGUCUGCCAGCUUUGGUGAGCUGCACAGUUGUUCUUCUGGUGUCUUCAAGCAUUGGAACCAAAGGCCAAUUGCAAACAGCCUUUAUGUUUUCAAGUGAAACUUCAUUUUAUUUGCAGAUACACUUGUAUGGUAGACUGUUUAAACUAUUAUGACUGUAUUUAUAUGCAUUACGGUGACUGCAUCUACUAUUCAUGUUUAAGAAAACAAAAAAAGAAAUUGUUCAACUUGAAGCAAAUAUAAAAGUUUAAAGAUUGGCCCUCCAUAAAAAUGCUGUGGUUAUGCUGCUUGAUUUUAAGUUUGCACUUUUUUUAUUGGCAUUUAAAAAAAACUGUUUAAACUGAAUUUCGUAUUUUAUUUAAUUUAACUGCGUUGAAAGUGACUGCUUUGUACAUCAUGAACUUAACAAUAUACAUGCUGUAAAUGAAAGUUCACUGUCCUGUAUACGAAGGGUAUUUUUUGUUUGUUUUUUUUGGGGGGGGAGGGAAGAAAGGUGGAGCAGGGUGGGGUGGCGGUUGUUUAUUUUGUUUGUUUUUUUUUCCAACUUACAAUUAGGACUGCAAAUGUAUGAGACAAACCUUAGACCAUUGUAUGGCUUUAACCAGAUGCAGUAUGCAGUCAUGUGGGAUCUUGCUUUCUAGUGCUGGCAAAAUAAGGACAUCUUUAAUUACUGGCUUCAAUAAACAUGAAUCCAGACUGCUCUAUGCUGUGAUUUUUUACAAUUUUUAUUUUCAUUUUUAAGAUCAUCCUUCUAGAGCUGUGUCUGUGGGAGCAGAACAUCAGUGAGUUCAGUGAACAGGAGAGUUAAGUCGGCUCAUACUGUUGUGUACAGGGUGGAAAGCUAGCCACUUGGAUGGUGUAAAUAAUGGACUGCUAAUAACAGAACUAAGGGUUUUUUUCCUCUUUGGUAAGUGCAACAAGUUUUUCUUAGUGAGCGUAGAAAGAACAGACCAAUUUAUGUAGAAUUUUUCUGUUUACUUGUUACUUGAGCUGGAUGCCUUUCUGUUCUCCUACGUAGCUGGAAGUUCUACUUCAUUAAUGUUUGUAGUCAUUUCUGUUACAGAAGCCAACUGAGCUUUUGAUUGCUAAAAUACAUAGUUUGUGUAGAAGUGAAGCUUUAUGAAGCCAUGAAGCAAUUAUUUCUGAGGAGUUACCAUAAUGCUUCUUCUUUAAAUGAGUUCAUUAAUAUACAGUAAAGUAUUACUUUUGGUCCAUUUAAAAUGCAAAACAUUCAAGAUGGGAUUUAGAAAAUAAUUUCUGAAUAUAUGAUGAGAAAUAUAUUUGGAGGGGAACUAAAUGAAAGUUUCAUCUUCAGACAUGUUAAAGCUGGAAAUGACUUUAUGAAGAAAGACCGUAAUGGUGGAUAGAAAUGAAGGAACUCCCCUGUAACUCUUGUGUGUACUCCACUGUUGUUUGUCAGUAGGGUUGCUGUGGGUUGUUAGUGAUUUUCUUUUCUCUUUUUUUUUUUUUUUGAGGGCAAAUGCCUCAAUAAAACAAGCAGACAUGAGGUAGCGUGGUUUUUAUUACACGUUAUUAAACAUCUUGCUGGAGGCUCUAAGCUACUUGCUCAAAGUAAAUCUUCCCCUGACUGCUGUUCCAGAAGGUGGCAUUAAACCUUCUGGCUUUUCAGCCAUGGCAGGCUUUUGUUAGUGUAUGAAGUUCUCAGAUAAGAAACUUUGCAUGAAUAAAGUCAGUCAGUUUCUGAGUCUUUGUAGUUCAAAUACACAUGAGGGAAGGGCGGUUAAUGACCAGGAUGUUGCUAACAACCUAAAAGAGCCUCUAGUUGUCCAGAACAGUAUUGUAGAAGUACAUGGAAUAUCUAAAGUUACUGUUCAGUACCGAAAGUAAAACUUGUGUGUUGCUCGAUCUUUUAAUUAAAACAAACAAAUUGUAUAUUCAGAGGAUACAGGCAGUUUAAUUCCAGAAGCACUCUUCAGGUGGAGCUCAGCUUUCCCUUUGAUGUAAAUCGUCUAGCCCUUCUGGUACAACUUUCGUAGUAAUGAAUUAUUUGUUCUCUGAUCCACUCAGAUUUUGCAGAGAAGUUGAUGUAAACCCAAGUAAUUAAGAAAGUCAACAGUCUGAACAAGUGCUUUGGGUCACUGCGUGGCUCUGGUUUCACAGCAGAGAUGUCUGCAGUGAAAUGUUACUGUGCCUUAUAAUUAGCCAUUCCAAGUAGUGGGUGUUGCAGUAGUGUAGGUGAGAACACAAUCUGAUCUAACAUGCUUUCUUCUUUCUAGAAAAGUGGAAUGAAGCAAGUGCUGAUAUGUGCAUGUAUAUCAGUGCUUCUGUAUCGCUUGGAAUUGAAAUACAUUUAAAAGAAAAUAAAUGCUUUUCAAGUGGUAAUGUGCUACAGUGCUUCAAAACCAUGGAUGGCUAUAAAUUGAAGUGUGGGUGGGGCAUCUAAGUCUGCCUUAAGCUGGCUUAAAAAACAAUUAGUUGUAUUGGUGUGUUGCACAUUUCUUGUGCCAAAUACAGCAGUGCACCUAAGAGCAUAGUGCUCACACUGUUUAGAAAUAUUACUCUUGUAAAAGAUUUGAAUUAUCCAUACUGGCUGGCAUGUACAUCAUAUUAAUAAAUACAUACUUGAAAAGUGUCUGUAGGAUAAUGCUGUAGACGUGGAAGCAAUUAAUUUUCUCUACUGCCAUUGUUUGCAUUGUGGAGCUUUCUGUGUGGUAGAUUGAACAUUACUAGUUGUAAAUUUUAUUUGAAGAAAAAGAUCUUUGACUCCUCUCUCCUUGAUAAUUAAUUAUUAACUAUGUUUGACUGAAGCUUUCUGUAGAUGCAGUGUUCCAGAUGGUGGUGGACUGAGGAUCAGUGCCUUUAAGCAAUGCUGCUUCAUACACCAUUUUAAGAUGAACAAAAGCUUAAAUUGCAAUGUUCAACCUGAAGAAAAACAGUUGUUUUGACCAUACACACAAGAGAGCUGAAUUUGGGUGCAGAAGCUGAUGGAAUCAUGCACAAGCUACCUUUUUUCUCUAUGAAUGUAGGUUUAAAGAAGUUGUUAAUGCUUGCUCAUAUGUUCCUUUAUGGUCAUGUAAAAAAUGUCAUCCUUGUAGAAGUGGUUUAGAACAAUUUCAGAAACUAUUCAAAAUAUAGGAUUUUUGCAACAUUAAGGUUCUAGGAAUAGUCUUACACAAACAUAGGAAGAAUUUGUAGUAAAAUAGUGAAGUUUUAUAGGAAAGGAGAUAAGCAAUCCUAAAUCUCUGACACUCAGUUUAUCAGAUUGACAGCAUUCAAAAGAACAAGGACUUCCCUUUGAGAGAGGGAUUGAAGUGGCAGGAUUAGAGUGAAAUAAAUGGCAGGAAAAGAGGGAAUAUGAUUACUGAAAAGAUAAUGGAUUCAGAUGGCUACUGAGGCUCGGACCAGAACAUGUAAUUGUUUGCUGGACUUUGAGCCAGAGUGCAGAGUGCCCUCUAACUUGCGCAGAUUGCUCCAAGUGAUUGGCUGCAAUCUUUGUCUUGCCUUGUGUUGUGCUUGUUUCCACUUGGAAGCCAGGUUUUUGUUCUGACAAUGGCCAUUUGACUGCAGUACAAAGUAAAGGCCUAUCUGAGCCAGGAACAGGGAAGUCAAAUCGUGGUCCAAGAGUGCAUAAGAAUGGUGGGUAGGUGUUAGGGAGGUGUUGGGGAGGAUAAUACAUGGCUAGGCUGAGUCUCAGUAAUUAAUGUCUGUUUUUUGAACACAGGACUUAACACCCAUUUUGGUUGCAGAGAAGAUUUGGAUGUUGCACUCAAGUUUACUUGAAUUUAUUGAUCAUGUUGUAAGUGGUAGGACAGAGGUGGAGAUCAAUGUUAUUUGCGGUGGUUGGUUAAUGAAAUCUGUUUGAUGUGGAUGAUAAAUGACUAUCAAGUUAAAACCUCUCUUUUCCAGAGGAAUCAAGUGUUUAUUUGUGAAAUACUGACUGUAUUUUGGAGAUCGUUGGAAGGCUAAUGAGAUAAAAAUCUUCAUCUGCUCUGAAAGAUGAGGCUACUAUGGGAAGAAGGAAGAACUUCAAUUUUAUUUAAGGAUCAGUCACUGACUCCAGAGAAAAUUACUUAAAACCAAAGCAAAGGCAAAAGGCUUAGGGUGAGCACUUGGUACUUGUGGCCAAACCCAGGACUGGAUUUGUGUAGCUUAGGCGUGGAGGUCAGUAAGAAGUGAUACAGAAUCUCACUGUGACUUGAAUGACAAAACUUGACAGCUACCAGUAUCUUUUGGUAAUAAUUGUUGGCUCCUGUUGUCAGGAGCUAAUUUUGAAAGAAACAAGUGGUGUAUUAAUCAUUGAUAUAUGUAAGAGUAUUAGAUUGCUGAAUUAAUACCAACAUUCAUGUAUGUUAUAAACCUGAGUUAUUUUAUGCGGGUUUAUUUUCCUGGUAAAGCAACACGUGACCCAGAAAAACACUGGAUUGCCAGAAGGCAGCUAUAACUAGCAGCUGUUCAACUGGCUGCGUUAGGAUGUUUUGAUUUAAAAACAAGCAACGCCUUGCAAUGCUGUUGUAAAGGGCUGGGAGAUUGCCAGUGGAAAUGGCAGGAUCUGAAAUAUUUAAAACUUAGCCUGUCAGAAUCUCUCUGGAUCACCUUUUAGCUUAGCAGAAGUACAGCACAGCUAUUAACAGAAUGCUGUCAUACUUAAAAUAUUUUACUUUGACCACAGUUUUCCUCUUGCUUUUGCAUUUGUGCUCUGUCCUAUUCUAGCCCCUUAUUAUAAGCAACUUGAGUCUUUUGGGCCAGUUCAGUUGAGAAGGAUCUCAGAGCUCACUGAGCUAAUACCAGUUGCAUGAAAAUUAGUGGCUCAGUAGAGAAGAUAGAUCCAAGACUUCCUGUGCUUAGGGAAGCGUUGCCAAGGAAGUUUGGCCAGUCAGCAGGCGAGACAGGCCAAGCGCAGAUCUGUCAGUCUGCACACAUGGAACCUGGCAGAGCACUUGCUUUCUUUUGCUCAAGCAGUAGUUAGGGACAUAAAUAGGAGUUAAGCCUACUGCGUGUGAAAGGGGACCCUUGGGGGGGUGCUGGGUCACUGGGCUCAGUGGGAGGGGUGAGUGGGAAGGUGGGAAGAGAAGACUGAAGUCUGCGGGGAAUUGGGAUUUAUUAGUUCCGCUUAUACAGCCUUGUAAGUUUGGGGCAAUGUGCCUGCCUCGAGUUUAUAGCUAGAGAUGGAAGACUUAAAAUUAUUUUUCCUGUUUAAAAAAAAAAAAAAGAAAGCCUAAACCUUCCAUUGCAUGUAGAAGACCAAAUAACUAAAGAAAGAAAUGCUCUGAAGGGAAAGAGCCAAAUUUGCUGAAUGUCAAAUUUUGUUGCAUGUAGGAAUUAAGUGCUGUUGAGUGGAUUAAGUUCUUUGAACUGCUGUCACAUUAGCUGAUGUAAGCAAUAAGUGUAGGUAAAACAAAUUCCAAAGAAUAACUAAAAAAUGAACUUUUAAAACCUUUGCAAUUCUCCACCAGAGGCAGAAGGAGCUGCUUGGUUUGGUUACGUAACAGCAAACAGUAUUAAAACAGUUGAGGUCAGUUGUUUUCGCUGGCCCGUUUCAUCCAUGGAAAGAAAGAAUGCAGUGAGUGUACUUCAUCUUCAUAUUUAUUUAUACAUUUUAUUUAAAGCCUGCUGAGAGACCUUUAAAACUUUGUUUGUAAAACAUGGUUUAUACAAUUUUUCUUCCACCUUUUCAAAAAAUAAAAAUGAUCUUUUUCCCUCCAAAGGGCUGCUGUAUCCUCCACACUCCCAUCUCUUGCCAAAAAACUGUAGAUGCCACAGGGCAGCAUGGCAAUGGCCAUGCAGUCAGAGGGGAACAGCAGUUCCCUGACCUUCUGUUCUGGACUUGUGUGUUUUUAUGGUAUUAUUGGAAGAAGACUACCUUUUUUCCCAGUUGAGAUUUUUUUCCCCUCUGUUUCCUGAAUAAAUGUAGUGCCAUGAAUAAAGUAAACAUUGCUGUCA